GACGAACGCUGGCGGCGUGCCUAAUACAUGCAAGUCGAGCGGAUCGAACAGGAGCUUGCUCUUGUUCGGUUAGCGGCGGACGGGUGAGUAACACGUGGGUAACCUGCCCGUAAGACCGGGAUAACUCCGGGAAACCGGAGCUAAUACCGGAUAACACCGAAGACCGCAUGGUCUUUGGUUGAAAGGCGGCUUCGGCUGCCACUUACGGAUGGGCCCGCGGCGCAUUAGCUAGUUGGUGAGGUAACGGCUCACCAAGGCGACGAUGCGUAGCCGGCCUGAGAGGGUGACCGGCCACACUGGGACUGAGACACGGCCCAGACUCCUACGGGAGGCAGCAGUAGGGAAUCUUCCGCAAUGGACGAAAGUCUGACGGAGCGACGCCGCGUGAGCGAAGAAGGUCUUCGGAUCGUAAAGCUCUGUUGUUAGGGAAGAAGAAGCGUCGUUCGAACAGGGCGGCGCGGUGACGGUACCUAACGAGAAAGCCCCGGCUAACUACGUG
rnacentral:rRNA from 1 species